rnacentral:rRNA from 1 species
UACGUAGGGUGCGAGCGUUGUCCGGAUUUAUUGGGCGUAAAGAGCUCGUAGGCGGUUCAGUAAGUCAGGUGUGAAAUCUUUGGGCUUAACCCAAAGCGUGCACUUGAUACUGCUGUGACUUGAGUUCGGUAGGGGAGUGGGGAAUUCCUAGUGUAGCGGUGAAAUGCGCAGAUAUUAGGAGGAACACCGGUGGCGAAGGCGCCACUCUGGGCCGAAACUGACGCUGAGGAGCGAAAGCGCGGGGAGCAAACAGG